AGCUCUGGGCCAAGGGUGAACGGGACGGCGCCGGGCGUGAGGCCGCGACCUGGGCUCGGCGCUCCUGGCUGUGGUGGCCCGGCCCCGCGGGAUCUCGGGUGUCUGCCCGGCGCGCAGCUCCCGGGCCGCACAGCCCCUUCGGACGUGGCGGCACCGGGCUCCGGCCUCGCGCACGCCGCCCGCUGCCGGCGGCGCCCAGGGCCGCCGCGUCCCCCGAGGACAGGCGCAGGCCUGUCCUCCGCGCCUCCGGGCCGCCUGAGCGAAGUUCCCCCCGAGGCUGUUUCCUCACCCGUGAAGGCCCCCUCUGCCCACUCGAGGCUCCUUCCCACCCGGUUUUUCUGUGUUCUUCUCACGAUGUGUGAGUCUUCGUUCCUUCUGUACUUGGGAGGAUUCCGUGGACAAUAUAUUCGUUCAGCAAAUACUGAAUGAUCUCCUACUGUGUGCCAGGCCUUGGGAAUACGCCCUAGCUCAGAAUAUUCUUGCCCUAGUUCAGCUCAUAUUCCAAGGCGACAUGUGAAGAAAAACACCUAAUUAAUGUUGUUUCCAGUACCAUACUGUUCUGAAAAACAUAAAGCUGGAAGGGUAGGCAAGGAAAGCUGUUUCACACGUGCUGGUCUCUGAAUCCGCUUUUGAAAGUUAAGAGUUGAACAGAGACCUACGUUAAAGGCAAAAAAUUGAAGGAAAGGCAGGCUGGUGUGAUCAGACAUCACCUGGAAGAUGGUGAAUGAUCCGGAAUCUGAUGAGUUACAGACAUGGAGGCUGACCAGAUGUGGAAGAUGCGGGACUCCGGCUAAACCGACUUUCCUGCUAACAUUGAACAAUCAGAUAUGAACAGGAAAUCCAAAAUUCCAGGCCUAGUUGAAAAAAAGAGUUCAGAGGAGCCUGAGUGGAGUUUGGUCAAGGAGAGAAUCUUGUCACCUGAAUGAAAAGGAGAAAACCAGGCAUGACAAGGAGCUACAGAAGGAAUCCAUUUUUUUCACCUGUCCUUACUGCUGUCAUUCACUGCCAGCUGUGACAUCUUCAGAGGGCCAAACAAUGAAACAUUUCAAAAUAUUGAUUCUGGCAAAGCCUCCAUUACUGAAGUCACCAUGAGCCAGCACUAUUGUCAAAGCAUUGAUACUUAGAAUCUCAGGAAAGCAAAACCAAACAACAGUAAGAAAUACUGAAGAUGGCAGCAUUUUAUUUCAUCCAGCCCAAACAUCCUGACAAGUCGCUAUGCCUUAUCUAUGAAUUUUAGAAAUGGAAUAUUCAAACUUUAUGAAGAGCAUUUUCAGUCUCCUCAUUAAAGAAAAGGUGCUUCUGCCUCUUGCUAAGGAAACCAAAACUCUCUUCUGCGCUGAGGAGGCCUCGUACUGACUCCAGCUGGAGGUCCAAUUAGCAUGAUGUCACCAGCAUAGUAAGAUGUCCUUAGGAUGGUGAGGUGAUUCACGUUUCUGCUUAUUAAAUGACAGCAAAGAGUCAGAAUUGACAUAGUUCUGAUGUAAAAUGCUAUGAAGUCCUGCUGUUCCUUCCAGCAAAUAUCAUACUGAGUCAUGAAACAUUAAAGUAUUUCGAUUAUGAGAGGAAAAAAAAGAUCUGACAAGGAUGCCUACUGAGAAUGAGAAAGCAAAGAAGAAAUCCUGACAACUGUUAGCUGUGUGCUGACCUGAUGCUUAUGGCAAGGCUAUGCUCUUUCUUCCUUAAUACAAACGAUUUCAUAGAACAUCCACAUCAGCCAAAGUCACUCUGUGAAUGACUGUGAUAGAGUGAGCAAAGCUGACUAUUCCUUAAUCAUUUCUGAUCUUAGGAAAAUAGAAGAACACUGUGCGAAUAACAAAAACAAGCAAGCCUUCCCCUCUGUGCGCUACCCAGAGAAUGACUGCUGUUUCUAUGAUCAAUUACAGCUUUGACUCACUCCGUUCCACCUACCUCCUAGAUAAAAUGCGGACACAAAAAUAUAGAAUCCAGAGCUAAACGCACUUCUCUGUUCCUCUUCAAAAUGACGUAACACAAGCCUCAAUCCUAUAACAAUCCCAUCAUAAUAUUCUCUUACUGAGAUACCCCAUUGUUUCCCAUGGCAUUGGUCUCCCUCGCAACAAGUAAUAAGGCCAGU